rnacentral:rRNA from 1 species
UACAUGUGGGGCAAGCGUUGUUCGGAAUUACUGGGCAUAAAGGGUGCGUAGGCGGCUUGUUAGGUCACUGGUGAAAGUUUUCGGCCCAACCGGAAAAUGGCCUUUGAUACUGGCGAGCUCGAGUGCGUGAGGGGUAACCGGAACGAGCAGUGUAGCGGUGAAAUGCGUAGAUAUUGCUCGGAAGGCCAACGGCGAAGGCAGGUUACUGGUGCGCAACUGACACUGUGGCACGAAAGCGUGGGGAGCAAACAGG